AGCAACAGCGGCGAACUAAUACCAGAGACGUCAAACUAGUGCUGCUGAGCAGGACAGACAGGAGUCCGUUCAUCAUUCAGUAUGUCGCUCAGGGGUCUGUCCACAGAGGAACUUUUACAGAAGUUGGUGGUGGAAGGAGGAAUCGAAAUUUCAGAGGAGGAUGCUCCAAAAUUUAGAGACAAUGAUGUGGAUGGAGAGACCGUAGACUGCAGACUCAGAGAAAAUAUACACUUCACACACCGCUAGAAGAAGGUCACCCUUACUUUGGAAGUGGUCAACCCAGAACAACAAACGUGUGAAGCUCCUGUGUCCCAGCAAACCAGAGUUUGGAAUCUAGUUGCCACAGACUGCCUGCAGUCAUUUCCAUUCCACAAUUCCUACAAGAUGUCCAGAGCCGCUUAGAUGCUAAAGAACCGGUCCACAAGAACCAGAAGGCUCUGUAUGAUCUGCUGUCACAGUGUACAAUUUGUGCGAUGAGGUUUGUGCGAUGAGGUUUAUGCCAUGCACCCCUCUCCAGUCAACAUAUGCCACCGCAUCAGUGAGAACUUCACAUCUAUUCUCCCAAAUAUGCUGAAACUUGUCAAGGAUUCGCCACUGAAAAAACUACAUGGAAGCAAGAGAGGAUGCCUUGGCUGAGGAUAUUAAAGGAAUUGACUUCUCUUGCCAUCCAUAUUCAAGGAGAAGAUUGAGGAUUUCAUUAUCCUUGGACAGAAUUAUCCUCAAACUCCAUAUCCAACCGUUCAACUGAAAGCACAAGGGUUGAAAUAUGCCCUCUCCAGACAGUGCCAGAGUGUGGUCAAUGUCGAGGGAACUGAGGUUUGUUCUUGCACUUCGGUGGAUGAGGUCUUCAUUGCAGCCUUCUGCAUGUACUUUGUCUUCAACAUGGCAUAUCCUGGAUACUUGAAAAAGACACUGACCUUUCUCCAGAGACGCAUCGCAAACAUCACGGGGAUGGAGACAAAUCUCUGCCGGUAACUGUAACUCGAAGUGUCAACCUUCUUCACUGAUCAUGCUUGGACUGCAUCAGUGUACAAAAUGCUCAAAGAGGACCUUUACUCUUAGAAAACUGAUUCAUCAUAUUGGACUUGUACAUGCACACGACCCUCAUUUCAACAUAAGCUGUGGGAUAAGUAACUGCCAGUCUGCUUUUUCCAAGUAUCAAUCUUUUAGGCGGCAUGUUUAUCGAAAACACAAACGCAACAUUUCUGAUUGCUCCGAAGUAACUGAAGAACAUUUUGAAGAACUAGUUGAACGCACACACGCAGUUGAACAGCCCACACCACCAAGUAUAGACACUUUGCUUGAAAAUUCAAGAGACCAUUUAUUUAGUUUCAUUCUCAAGUGUACCGAAAAAAGUAAUCUCUCCCUCUCUGUCCAACAUGAUAUUGUUGAUGACCUACAUUUUUUAUUGUGUUUUUUCAAAGAUCUGUCAAUGGUGUCAAAUAGGCCCUUGAGGAUGUUUUUGUAGUAGGUCAUGUACACACUGAAGCCACCCCUUUUUAUUCUUGAAAAUUAAGUCCAUUUUGAAUGUUGAGACUUGUUGGGUGUUGUGUGGAAAACUGUUAUAUCCUUACUUUUAUUAUUACAAUCACUUCCAUGCUUACCAUGUCACAGUUGACAAUGACUGGAUUCUGCUCAGUCCAGGAAAUGAGUAGACCUUCAAGUUCUCGACACAUUUAGUUGAUGAUAGACUGUAUGUUUCCUUGAGGUUUCUGUUUAAAUAUGUUCUAUCUAAAUAUGUGUGUUACUUUGAGGUUUUCUGCCUUAUGGUUAAUGUGACUGCAAUCUUUACAUCUUGUUAUGUUAUGCAUUUACAUUGAUUCAUUUUAUAUGUAACUAUAUUGAAUUGAUGAAUUAACAUUUUUACAACUUAAAUGCUGCCAUGUUUAUCUGAAAACAUAUUUUCAUUGAUGUUAAUAAAUGGU